GACCAGACUCCUACGGGAGGCAGCAGUGGGGAAUAUUGCACAAUGGGGGGAACCCUGAUGCAGCGACGCCGCGUGGGCGAGGAAGUAUUUCGGUAUGUAAAGCCCUAUCGGCAGGGAAGAAGAAAUGACGGUACCUGAAUAAGAAGCACCGGCUAAAUACGUGCCAGCAGCCGCGGUAAUACGUAUGGUGCAAGCGUUAUCCGGAUUUACUGGGUGUAAAGGGGGCGCAGACGGCGAUGCAAGCCAGGAGUGAAAGCCCGGGGCCCAACCCCGGGACUGCUCUUGGAACUGCGUGGCUGGAGUGCAGGAGGGGCAGGCGGAAUUCCUGGUGUAGCGGUGAAAUGCGUAGAUAUCAGGAGGAACACCGGUGGCGAAGGCGGCCUGCUGGACUGCAACUGACGUUGAGGCCCGAAAGCGUGGGGAGCAAACAGGAUUAGAUACCCCUGUA
rnacentral:rRNA from 1 species